rnacentral:rRNA from 1 species
CCUACGGGCGGCUGCAGUGAGGAAUAUUGGUCAAUGGACGAGAGUCUGAACCAGCCAAGUAGCGUGAAGGAUGACUGCCCUAUGGGUUGUAAACUUCUUUUAUAUGGGAAUAAAAUGUUCCACGUGUGGGAUUUUGUAUGUACCAUAUGAAUAAGGAUCGGCUAACUCCGUGCCAGCAGCCGCGGUAAGACGGAGGAUUCGAGCGUUAUCCGGAUUUAUUGGGUUUAAAGGGAGCGUAGGUGGAUUGUUAAGUCAGUUGUGAAAGUUUGGGGCUCAACCGUAAAAUUGCAGUUGAAACUGGCAGUCUAGAGUACAGUAGAGGUGGGCGGAAUUCGAGGUGUAGCGGUGAAAUGCUUAGAUAUCACGAAGAACUCCGAUUGCGAAGGCAGCUCACUGGACUGCAACUGACACUGAGGCUCGAAAGUGUGGGUAUCAAACAGGAUUAGAUACCCUUGUAGUC